CGCCGCUAUCCACUUCUUCCCUUUCUUUUCCCCUUAUUUUCGUUCUUUUUCUCUUCUAUUUUGGCUGCUGCUGUUGCUUCUCCUUGCUUCUUCUUCUCUUCAUUUCUUUUGUUUUCUCUCAUUUUCUUCUUCUCCUGUUGCGCCGGCUGUUCUUCUCCUACAUUGGACAAUUUUCUGCUUCAUCUUCAACCACUGUGCCGAACUCCUCCUCCAUUUCAUUCGGGUGAAUCCGUGGGUCAUGCUCUGUUUCUGGCCUCACUUUCAUGCUCGGUUUCCUCUAGCAUUUUCGUGAUUCAAGCUUAUGGUUUAUUCCCUUUCAUUUCCAGUUGUUUGGCCCCUUUUUGUGCUCUAUUGAAGCCAAACCCGUGCCCCUGUUUUGACCCCACGCUAUGACGAAGAGGCUGAACCCAAGGAAGCAGCUUUGUCGAAUGACUAAAUUGGUGGCUUUUGCUUGCUUUUAUUGGGAAUUAGUUCCCUGCUUUUUAAUUAUGUAUUUUGGAUUUUUAUGACGUUGUUAUUGGAUAUUUGUAACAUUUUUGUUAUGCUUGUAUUUAAGCGAGUUUGUAUUUUAACAAUUCUGGUACUUAGUUGACUGAUUUUAAUUAUCCACUGCGUUGUUUUGUUGUACA